GCUUAACACAUGCAUUUCGAGCGGAUGAAGGGAGCUUGCUCCUGGAUUCAGCGGCGGACGGGUGAGUAAUGCCUAGGAAUCUGCCUGGUAGUGGGGGACAACGUUUCGAAAGGAACGCUAAUACCGCAUACGUCCUACGGGAGAAAGCAGGGGACCUUCGGGCCUUGCGCUAUCAGAUGAGCCUAGGUCGGAUUAGCUAGUUGGUGAGGUAAUGGCUCACCAAGGCGACGAUCCGUAACUGGUCUGAGAGGAUGAUCAGUCACACUGGAACUGAGACACGGUCCAGACUCCUACGGGAGGCAGCAGUGGGGAAUAUUGGACAAUGGGCGAAAGCCUGAUCCAGCCAUGCCGCGUGUGUGAAGAAGGUCUUCGGAUUGUAAAGCACUUUAAGUUGGGAGGAAGGGUUGUAGAUUAAUACUCUGCAAUUUUGACGUUCCGACAGAAUAAGCGCCGGCUAACUCUGUGCCAGCGCCGCGGUCGUCCAGCGGGAGCAAGAGUGGGGUCGACCUACUGGGCGU
rnacentral:rRNA from 1 species